rnacentral:tRNA from 1 species
UCCCCAGUGGCGCAAUCGGUUAGCGCGCGGUACUUAUAAUGCCGAGGUUGUGAGUUCGAGCCUCACCUGGGGAA